rnacentral:rRNA from 1 species
UAACACGUAUCCAACCUGCCGUCUACUCUUGNACAGCCUUCUGAAAGGAAGAUUAAUACAAGAUGGCAUCAUGAGUUCACAUGUUCACAUGAUUAAAGGUAUUCCGGUAGACGAUGGGGAUGCGUUCCAUUAGAUAGUAGGCGGGGUAACGGCCCACCUAGUCUUCGAUGGAUAGGGGUUCUGAGAGGAAGGUCCCCCACAUUGGAACUGAGACACGGUCCAAACUCCUACGGGAGGCAGCAGUGAGGAAUAUUGGUCAAUGGGCGAGAGCCUGAACCAGCCAAGUAGCGUGAAGGAUGACUGCCCUAUGGGUUGUAAACUUCUUUUAUAAAGGAAUAAAGUCGGGUAUGUAUACCCGGUUGCAUGUACUUUAUGAAUAAGGAUCGGCUAACUCCGUGCCAGCAGCCGCGGUAAUACGGAGGAUCCGAGCGUUAUCCGGAUUUAUUGGGUUUAAAGGGAGCGCAGAUGGAUGUUUAAGUCAGUUGUGAAAGUUUGCGGCUCAACCGUAAAAUUGCGGUUGAUACUGGAUAUCUUGAGUGCAGUUGAGGCAGGCGGAAUUCGUGGUGUAGCGGUGAAAUGCUUAGAUAUCACGAAGAACUCCGAUUGCGAAGGCAGCCUGCUAAGCUGCAACUGACAUUGAGGCUCGAAAGUGUGGGUAUCAAACAGGAUUAGAUACCCUGGUAGUCCACACGGUAAACGAUGAAUACUCGCUGU